rnacentral:rRNA from 1 species
GUACACUCCUGCGGGAGGCAGCAGUGGGGAAUUUUGGACAAUGGGCGAAAGCCUGAUCCAGCAAUGCCGCGUGAGUGAAGAAGGCCUUCGGGUUGUAAAGCUCUUUUGUCAGGGAAGAAACGGUGAGAGCUAAUAUCUUUUGCUAAUGACGGUACCUGAAGAAUAAGCACCGGCUAACUACGUGCCAGCAGCCGCGGUAAUACGUAGGGUGCAAGCGUUAAUCGGAAUUACUGGGCGUAAAGCGUGCGCAGGCGGUUUUGUAAGUCUGAUGUGAAAUCCCCGGGCUCAACCUGGGAAUUGCAUUGGAGACUGCAAGGCUAGAAUCUGGCAGAGGGGGGUAGAAUUCCACGUGUAGCAGUGAAAUGCGUAGAUAUGUGGAGGAACACCGAUGGCGAAGGCAGCCCCCUGGGUCAAGAUUGACGCUCAUGCACGAAAGCGUGGGGAGCAAACAGGAUUAGAAACCCUUGUAGUCCC